rnacentral:rRNA from 1 species
UACGGAGGGUGCAAGCGUUGUCCGGAUUUAUUGGGUUUAAAUGGUGCGUAGGCGGCUAAUUAAGUCAGCGGUGAAAUUCCACAGCUCAACUGUGGAACUGCCAUUGAUACUGGUUGGCUUGAGUACAGAUGAGGUAGGCGGAAUUGACAGUGUAGCGGUGAAAUGCUUAGAUAUUGUCAAGAACACCUAUUGCGAAGGCAGCUUACUAAGCUGUAACUGACGCUGAGGCACGAAAGCGUGGGGAUCAAACAGG